AUUGAACGCUGGCGGCAUGCUUUACACAUGCAAGUCGAACGGUAACAGGUCUUCGGAUGCUGACGAGUGGCGAACGGGUGAGUAAUGUAUCGGAACGUGCCCAGUAGUGGGGGAUAACUACUCGAAAGAGUGGCUAAUACCGCAUGAGAACUGAGGUUGAAAGCGGGGGGACCUUCGGGCCUCGCGCUACUGGAGCGGCCGAUAUCAGAUUAGGUAGUUGGUGGGGUAAAGGCCUACCAAGCCGACGAUCUGUAGCUGGUCUGAGAGGACGACCAGCCACACUGGGACUGAGACACGGCCCAGACUCCUACGGGAGGCAGCAGUGGGGAAUUUUGGACAAUGGACGCAAGUCUGAUCCAGCAAUGCCGCGUGCAGGACGAAGGCCUCGGUGUAACUGCUUUGUACUAGACGAAAGGACUCUGUUAGUACCUGGGCGUCAUGACGGUAC
rnacentral:rRNA from 1 species